rnacentral:rRNA from 1 species
UCUGGUUGAUCCUGCCAGUAGUCAUAUGCUUGUCUCAAAGAUUAAGCCAUGCAUGUCUAAGUAUAAAUAGUAUACAGUGAAACUGCUAAUGGCUCAUUAAAACAGUUAUAGUUUAUUUGAUAAUUGACAAUUACAUGGAUAACCGUGGUAAUUCUAGAGCUAAUACAUGCUUAAACGCCCGACUUUAUGGAAGGGUGGUAUUUAUUAGACUGAAGCCAAUAUUCCUUGUGUCUAUUGCGGUGAUUCAUAAUAACUGAUCGAAUCUCUUUUUGAGAUAAAUCAUUCAAGUUUCUGCCCUAUCAGCUUUCGAUGGUAGUGUAUUGGACUACCAUGGCAGUAACGGGUAACGAAGAAUUAGGGUUCGAUUUCGGAGAGGGAGCAUGAGAAACGGCUACCACAUCUAAGGAAGGCAGCAGGCGCGUAAAUUACCCAAUCCUGACUCAGGGAGGUAGUGACAAGAAAUAGCAAACCGGGAACCUCAUGGUUUCACGGUAUUGCAAUGAGAACAAUUUAAAACCCUUAGCGAGAAUCAAGUGGAGGACAAGUCUGGUGCCAGCACCCGCGGUAAUUCCAGCUCCACUAGCGUAUAUUAAAGUUGUUGCAGUUAAAAAGCUCGUAGUUGAACCUCUGUCUGGGGCUAGUUUUGGCUUUGGUCAGGCUAGUUCUAGGCAUCCGCCUACAAGACUUAGAGGGCAUUCAGUUGUUCACUAGGAGGAGUAGGCAUUUUACUUUGAAAAAAUUAGAGUGUUUAAGGCAGGCAAUCGCCCGCAUAUAUUAGCAUGGAAUAAUAGAAUAGGACACUUUUCCAUUUCGUUGGUUAUUGGAAUCGUGUAAUGAUUAAUAGGGACAGUUGUGGGCAUUUGUAUUUAAUUGUCAGAGGUGAAAUUCUUGGAUUUAUUAAAGACAAACUAACGCGAAAGCAUUUGCCAAGGAUGUUUUCAUUAAUCAAGAACGAAAGUUAGGGGAUCAAAGACGAUCAGAUACCGUCCUAGUCUUAACUAUAAACUAUUCCGACUCAAUGUUUGACUGGCUUAUAUAACCAGUUGAGCGUUGUAUGAGAAAUCAAAGUCUUUAGGUUCUGGGGGGAGUAUGGUUGCAAAGCUGAAACUUAAAGGAAUUGACGGAAGAGCACAACCAGGAGUGGAUUCUGCGGCUUAAUUUGACUCAACACGGGGAAACUUACCAGGUUAAAACAAUAGUGGGAUUGACAGUUUGAGAGCGCUUUCUUGAUUGGUUGGGUGGUGGUGCAUGGCCGUUCUUAGUUGGUGGAGUGAUUUGUCUGCUUAAUUGCGUUAACGAACGAGACCUUAACCU